ensembl:lncRNA
AUGGGAGAGGAAGAAAGGUUUUGUCAUACCCACUUUUUUACCUCAAGACUAUUUCUUCCUUUUUUGUAUGUCUUUUUAUAUGUCUUCCUUCUUCAGCUGAUUUUCCAUGUGGACACAAGCUGUACACAAAGGGGAGCAUUUUAUUGUAAAGGAGGAAAAAGGGAAAGGAGCAGGAGAGAAGUCCUUCAAGUCAGGAAGAAGAAAAAAUAUGUGUCCGUUAAUCUUAUAAAAGCAUUUUCCCCUGAAAUAUUUGUUAAUUUAUCAUACAGAUAUAUAGGCAUCUCCCCCGCAAGCCUUUGCAAUCCCUAUGUACCUAUAUAUCUGUAUCUAUCUAUCUAUAUACAUUAAUUUUAUAUAUGAAUUUCCCCCUCAUAUGUUUGCAGGUCUUUGAAAAUUCUAUAUACAUAUAGAUACCUAGAGAUUUUUAUGUAUCUGUAUAUCUGUAUCUAUAUGCAUACAUUAUUUUAUAUAUGAAUGUCCCCUUUACGUGUUUGCAAGUUUCUGCAAAUCAUAUAUAAUUAUCUAUAUAUGGAGAGAUGUCUAGAUAGAUAGAUAUAUGAAUAUAGGACUUGCAAAUAUUGCUGGAGGAAAAUGCACAGAGCUAGUUUUUCUUUGAAAUACAAUAAACAUUCAAGAACCUUUAACCUACUGAUGCCUCAAUUACUGUAAUUUUAUUGGUAUUUAUUUUAUUUUGAAAUUUACCAGUAGCUUCUGUAUUUCCAACCCUAGGCUUAUACCUGAGUCAAUAAAUUUUCCCAGUUUUUUGUGGUAAAAUUAGGUAUCUUGGCUUAUAUUCGGGUUGGCUUAAACUUGAGUAUAUACGGUAAUUAAAAGCCAAAAAGAGAUUAUUUCAUUAUACACUUGUACACUUUAAAAAAAUGAAAUCUAUCUCCACUGAUGAAAAAUAGCUAUUAUUUUUUAAAAACCUCUUUAGUAUCAGUGGUUUAGGAUGUCUUUUCUGAAAAAUAAUUUAUUGAACUCAUAGGGGGUUUUUAUCCUAAGGGCUGGUUCUCAGAAACAUGCCAAAAACCCCCCAUAAACUUCAUAGCUGUAAAAAAUAAAAAUAAAUUGCUAGAUAAUGUAUAGUAAUUUCCCCAUCUGAUAUAUAGUGUAAUGCGUACUAUAUUUGAAACAUUCUCUUUUCCAGUUCAACGGUUAUACUAAGUUGAUUUAUGAAUACCUAUUUUACACAUUUAUAAAGAAAUGCUUUAGUUUGCAUUAAUUUAAAUGCUUCAGCAAAGAUAGGUGUCAGCUAAAAUAAAUAGAGUUAUAUUUUAGAUAUUUUUGUACUGAAGUUUGAUAUUCCAAACUAUGUGUGUUGUGCAUCAGAGGUGAACUGCUUAUACUCUAAUGUAAGGCCAGAGCAGUUCCCCCAAACACAUGUUAAGCAAGUUUUGGAAACAAUACUAUCAGAACUGAAGCUUGGAAUGCUAGUAAAAAUGUAGGAUAAGAUGUUGAUUCAUAUAAAAAGAAGCUUCCUGUGUUGCCUUUGAAACAAUGUGCCCUAGGCUGCACUUUAGUUACAAUUUGCACCUUUGCUGUUCAUUGGGUGAUGCAGGGCAUGGGGCGAUGGGUUCUCCAUGCCCUCUGCCGGGAUGCCACAGAUUUGUUAUGAUACGUGACAAAUACAUAUUCCGAUGUGACAAGGUCCUUAGUUAAUGCUAAAUGAAAAAGAGCAUAUGUUCAUCAAAUACAGCUCUUCUGUCACAUAAAUAAGUGGUACAGGUGAGCUGUGCAUGUUGUAGGUCCCAUUAAAUAAUUUUGAUAAAAGUAUCAAACAUCUGUUAACUGGUAAUUAGUGGAACUGGACUAAUUUCGUGGAAUAUGGUGAAGUUAUCACUCACGCUAUGGUAUGUCUGUGAUUUUUGGUGUCUUUCUUGUUCUAUUAUUUAUUUUAUGUCCUUCUUUGUUCCUUUGGAAGAACCUAGUGUUUUGAUAAUAGAGACUUAGAAACUAGAAAGCAGCACUUGGAUUUCUAAGGGAAUUCCAGCAUGGUUUUCUCUAGGCAGUCUAUCCUAGACAGUUCCCCAGAUACACAUUUUAGGACUUCUUAACCAGACCUUUUACCAUUUUAUAAUCCUCUGUCUGCAGUUCAAACUAAACAGACCUUUCCAGACUGAAACGCCACCUUGAAAAAGGAAUAGCUAAGAAAUACAGGAAAAAUGGUUUAAAUGUAAAUUGCUUGCCAGAGAACUCCACUCUGUUUUAUGACUCCUUAGCAUUGUUAUGAAGAUGUGAGCGCAUUGUCAUACUUCACUGAGCCUCAGCCUUACAAUUUAGCUUAAUUAUCUUCAAGGUCAUUUUUAAAAAGAGAAUCAGGCCAAGCUUGAAAAUGUCAAGUAACUUGGAACGAUAGAACUUUCUCCUGUUUUCCAUUAUGCACUAUUUUAUUAUUGUCUGUAACCAUGAUUAUGUCUAUUUUGGCAUGAAAAAGCCACGGUUUUCUCAGUAUAAAGAAUGGACCACUAUAGAAAAUCUCUCUAACCAGUUCAUUUUCAUGCAGCCAACUGUUGGGAGAUUAAUAGGUGUGAGAACACUGCAUAUUCAGUGCAAGGGGGAAGAGGGAACCUCUUCAUUUUGACUAGGCUAAGCAAAAAGUAUAUGAAAAUGUAAGGCUAUACUGAAGAGUUUUUCUGCCCAUAAAGCUGACUGAGCACCCAGAAUUUAUUUGUGCAAUUCUGAGAUAUGGAUUUUGCUUUUAUUGAAAACCAAUGGCCUAUAAACUGACAAUCUCUAACAGUGUAUUUUUACUCAAAGGUAAGUCCUACCUUGAUCAGUGCACCAAGCGUGCAUAGGGCUGAAGAUUUAAGCCAGCAUUAUAUCUUGAUCUCUGGAUUCCUCGAUGGUAGCACCAACCAGAAUGUGGAGGCAUGAGACCAAUGAGCUGUUGGAUUCAAAUGUUUUUUUCCAUCAGAGGGAAGCAAAAGCUACCAACUGCUCCACAACCAUCCACAAAAAUUCAAAGGGGAUUUGAUUUAGUUUGAGCUUGAUUUCAACUUCCCGGCAACUCAUUUUCAUGUUCUAAGGCAAAGCUUUCCAAACAUUUCACAUUUGUGACACACCCUAUUAGGUCUGCAUCAUUUCAUGACACAGUAAUUCAGUUUUACUAGCAAACCAGAAAUUAAACCAAAUCCUUAUAAGAGAUAUGGGCUUAUACAUAAAUUGCAAUAACGAAAUGUAUGGGAACACAAUGUAUCUCAUGAAAACCUUUCAUUUAUAUAGUUUUAAAAUAUAUGAUUUAUUGCUAAUUUCACAUAGAGAUAUUUUGUUUUGUUUAUGCAACACAUUUAUGCACUGCAGCCAACACACUAAUGUGUCUUGACACAUAGUUUGGAAAGCUCUGUUCUAAAGUAAAGCCUUCCACCUCUAAUUCUUUUUCGUCCAAAUUGGACUACCACAUCUCUAUCAGCUUUGUUUCUCUUAGAGUAGUUCGUAGUUACUCUGUAUACCCGGUCGAUAUUUUGGUCUGCUUGGUCUUCCGUCAUCCGUAGUAUCUCUGCCACCAUUUUGGUUAUGAUUGCUCUGAUAUUUUCCUUUGCUUCUUCUUGGAUAUUUCGGAAUCUUAGUUGAAAUUCCAAUUCCUUUUGCUCCCAUUGUUCGUAUUUGUUUUCUAAUUUAAUAUUUUUUUCCUCUAAUCCUUGCAUUUUAUUACAUAUUUUGUCCUGGGUUUUUUUCUAUUUUCUUUGUUUCUGUCUUUUAGAGAUGAAAUCCUGAAAGAAAAUAGCCAAACCCCAACCAUAUUUAAAGGGAAAAGGGUAGCAAUACUCAAAGAAUUCCCAACAUCGACUCUGAUAAAGAGGAGAAAAUAUUUCUUCCUAACGGAGGAUCUGAAAAUAUUGGGAAUACGAUUUAGAUGGGAAAGAAGGGAGGGCAUUAUGGUCUCCUACAAAGAGAAUAAAUAUUGGCUGACAACGGAAGAGAAGGCCAGGGACUUCCACAAAAAACUUAAAAGUGAUAUGGAAGAAAGUAAACCUAAAGAAUGUAAGGAUGCAAGAGACACACAAAAAAAAAAGAGAGCGAAGUUUGAUUCCCCGGAAGAAGAAGAUAUCCAAUCUGGAAAAGAGGAAGAAAACUGCGACAGAGAAGAUGAGGAAGAAGAAGGAGUAGAAGAAGAAGAGGAAAACAAAGAAGAUGGAAAUCAGAUUCUACUCUAAUAAUGUCAACGGACUAAAUUCUCCACAGAAAAGAAAAUAAAUAUUCAACGCCAUUAGGAAGGGUAGAUAUGACAUAUCGGCGCUACAAGAAACCCAUAUCUCCCAAAAACAUAUAUCACACCUGACUCAAAAAUCAAUUGGACAAGAAUAUUUUUCUUCAGCUCCUGAAAAAAAGCGUGGAGUAGUAAUAUAUGUAAACCCAAGACUUAACACACGGUUAGCUUUUAAAGAUGACGAUGGAAGGAUAGUGGGAAUUAUAUUACAAUUCGAUAAUCGAAAGAUCUUAAUAUGUAACAUAUACGCGCCAAAUGGACCCAAAAAAACUUUUGUGAAAAAACUGUCAGAAUCAAUUAGGAACCAGG